AACGAACGCUGGCGGCAGGCUUAACACAUGCAAGUCGAGCGCCUCGCAAGAGGAGCGGCCGACGGGUGAGUAACGCGUGGGCACGUACCCUUAUCUUCGGAAUAGCUCUGGGAAACUGGAAGUAAUACCGAAUGUGCCCUUAGGGGGAAAGAUUUAUCGGAUAAGGAUCGGCCCGCGUUGGAUUAGCUAGUUGGUGGGGUAAAGGCCUACCAAGGCGACGAUCCAUAGCUGGUCUGAGAGGAUGAUCAGCCACAUUGGGACUGAGACACGGCCCAAACUCCUACGGGAGGCAGCAGUGGGGAAUAUUGGACAAUGGGCGCAAGCCUGAUCCAGCCAUGCCGCGUGAGUGAUGAAGGCCUUAGGGUUGUAAAGCUCUUUCACCGGAGAAGAUAAUGACGGUAUCCGGAGAAGAAGCCCCGGCUAACUUCGUG
rnacentral:rRNA from 1 species